rnacentral:snRNA from 1 species
CAACGCCCUCGACCUAUUCUC